rnacentral:rRNA from 1 species
AACGAACGCUGGCGGCAUGCCUAACACAUGCAAGUCGAACGAGACCUUCGGGUCUAGUGGCGCACGGGUGCGUAACGCGUGGGAAUCUGCCCUUGGGUUCGGAAUAACAGUUGGAAACGACUGCUAAUACCGGAUGAUGACGUAAGUCCAAAGAUUUAUCGCCCAAGGAUGAGCCCGCGUAGGAUUAGCUAGUUGGUGAGGUAAAGACUCACCAAGGCGACGAUCCUUAGCUGGUCUGAGAGGAUGAUCAGCCACACUGGGACUGAGACACGGCCCAGACUCCUACGGGAGGCAGCAGUGGGGAAUAUUGGACAAUGGGCGAAAGCCUGAUCCAGCAAUGCCGCGUGAGUGAUGAAGGCCUUAGGGUUGUAAAGCUCUUUUACCCGGGAUGAUAAUGACAGUACCGGGAGAAUAAGCUCCGGCUAACUCCGUG